UACAUUUAAUAUUUUGCAAUACACAAAGAUGUUGACAAGGGAUUACGCAACACUCUUGAGUAAACUCCUAAAAAUUUUGAUCCUCGUGGGAUUCCGUAGCUGACUUGGUAGUUUCGCGGUCAAACUUGACCAAACCACGCACGCGCUGAAGACGUUACCGCGGUGGGGAGACUUCACUGAGGUUAUCGUCGCCGUCUUUCACAGUUAUUGAUGUGUUGAUGUGGCGUUGUAAGUUGUGUCAGAAAGUGGUGUCAACAAGGGCUUUUUUUCAGGCACUACAGAUGGACUCCAUUGAUGGAAGAAGAUGUUGUAUCCUGAAGGCCCUUGCCGUUUAUCUCAGUGAAGACCCAAGCAACAUUUUCAAAGAGUACAUGGUAAGUGUAUUGAAUGAAAUGUUAGUAAAUGAGAGGGAAAUUACAAGAUGAUUUUAAAUGACUAAUGGUUUUGGAUAAAUGUAAGUAUAGUGUGGUAAAUAAUUUGUCCAGCACAUUUUAUUCAUAUUUGUACAAGUUUGAAAAUAUUUUUCUACUCAUACUAGAAAAUUCAUUGAUGUUGGAGACAACAUUACACAUGAUGACCAAUUGAAGAGGGGGGGCAACUUAUUAAUACUUUUGUGCAUAAAUUAGACACCAGUGCUGCCUUUGGAAGGGGUACGAUUUAAUAAUGUACUGCUCUUAGGCCCGAUCCGAAUACUAUCCCUUCUCACUCCUCCUUAGCCCUCCGCCUUCGUUUAUCCCUCCGUGCUUGCUCCAAACUGAGGGUGGUAAAAAAUAUUUCCGACGUGAGUUUCGUUCAGUGACGUCAUCCAAAUCACCGGUAAGCUAGCAUUAGCGCGGAGCUUCCAGCGGUUGAAUAUACAUUACAACAGCAGUUUUAUACAUUUAAAAAGGUCACACUGUAACAUAAAGUUAUUACUUGCGUUUAAAUGUAAACUUCUGUGGUUCAGAGCGUACCAAAGUGAAGAAAAGCGCUUCGUAGCGCGGCACGGUUUACUCUCGCGAUAGCGGACUUUCGGCCCCACUGUUUGGAGUGUGUAGCAUAAAAAAUAAUAAUUCCGGACACAACUUUGACUUCAACUGCCACUUCAAAUCAAGGGGGAGGGCUAAGGGGAAGGGAGAAGGGGAGUAUUCGGAUCGGGCCUUAGUCUACUCUGAACUGUUGUGGGUUUUGAUGACCACAAUCAUAACAAUGUAGACUUUAGUACUAGGUUUAUGAUAACAAAGACUGUCUCGUUGUUGCAAUAUAAAUUGAAUAAAUCUGAAAUUGUAUGAAUAUAAUGUCAUAUUCAAAAUAGUUGUACAUUUACAGUUUUGGCAUUCUCUAACCAUUUUAAACCUUUUUAAGUUUUUUAAUGUACCUACU